UGGGGAAUAUUGGACAAUGGGCGCAAGCCUGAUCCAGCCAUGCCGCGUGAGUGAUGAAGGCACUAGGGUUGUAAAGCUCUUUCACCGGUGAAGAUAAUGACGGUAACCGGAGAAGAAGCCCCGGCUAACUUCGUGCCAGCAGCCGCGGUAAUACGAAGGGGGCUAGCGUUGUUCGGAUUUACUGGGCGUAAAGCGCACGUAGGCGGACUUUUAAGUCAGGGGUGAAAUCCCGGGGCUCAACCCCGGAACUGCCUUUGAUACUGGAAGUCUUGAGUAUGGUAAAGGUGAGUGGAAUUCCGAGUGUAGAGGUGAAAUUCGUAGAUAUUCGGAGGAACACCAGUGGCGAAGGCGGCUCACUGGACCAUUACUGACGCUGAGGUGCGAAAGCGUGGGGAGCAAACAGG
rnacentral:rRNA from 1 species